rnacentral:rRNA from 1 species
CCUACGGGUGGCUGCAGUGAGGAAUAUUGGUCAAUGGGCGCGAGCCUGAACCAGCCAAGUAGCGUGAAGGAUGACUGCCCUACGGGUUGUAAACUUCUUUUAUCAAGGAAUAAAGUGAGGCACGUGUGCCUGUUUGUGUGUACUUUAUGAAUAAGGAUCGGCUAACUCCGUGCCAGCAGCCGCGGUAAUACGGAGGAUCCGAGCGUUAUCCGGCUUUCUUGGGUUUAAAGGGAGCGUAGAUGGGUUGUUAAGUCAGUUGUGAAAGUUUGGGGCUCAACCGUAAGAGUGCCAUUGAUACUGGCAGUCUUGAGAACAGUAGAGGUAGGCGGAAUGCGUGGUGUAGCGGUGAAAUGCUUAGAUAUUACGAAGAACUCCGAUUGCGAAGGCAGCUUACUAAAC